rnacentral:misc_RNA from 1 species
AAAGACACCUGUUACCGUUGGCUCGUAACUGUUACUCGUUAACUGUUGGCGUGGCUAAAACAGCGUCAGACAUCCCACCGAAACACAGAGUUAGACACAGAGCAGACUCAGACAAAGCCUUGCACCUCUAGCCGCCUUGCAACAUUCAAUUUAAUCAUAUUGCCAGCAAAAAUGUUUGCUCAAACUCAGCACAUUUCGCCGGAGGCCACAGCACUUCCUCCGACAUAUGCUAAAAUGCCAAAAACCAUCUACGAAGCAAGAGCUGCAAAAUGCAAUAUAAUGCAAAAGUUUUUACCGGCAGAAGUUCAAACAACUCUGACAAUGUUACCAAGAAACGCUUUUGUUUACCAUUCGGCUUCAGCUUUUUUCUCAAAUUUCCUGCCACAGAGCGUUCAAAUGGAGACAGAAGAGCUUGUUGCACUUGCCUGCAGAGCGAAAUAUUAAAAGAUACUCAAAACAUAUUUCAAGACAUACGAGUAUGCAGUUGAUGCAUUUAAACACGCUCUGCCUAGACUAGAGUGGAGUCUGCAAUAUGGGAUCCUGUAGAUUAUUUGAACCCACACUUUCUCUCGUGGCCUUGUUUAUGUGUGUGUCCUUAAAUCUGAAUCCUAUUUCUGUGUUUCUGUGUGUUUGACGUCGCCCGAGUGAUUUGCAUGGAGUUAUUGUUUACGUUUGUGGCACCGACCUUCGGCUGAUGGGGUAAGAUGAGUGCAGAUGAAUGGGUCUGCAGACCGACGACCACCGACCGAUGGGCUCUACCCGUCUCCCACUUGGCACCGAUUGUCACAUCAACUCGAUCGACACGGCCAGAUUGAUUGCACUGGGGGUUAAAAAUAAUGCGACUGCAGUUUCGGUUUUGCGCGGCCAGCGCAUUUCGCGAAAAUGUGCAAUGGCUGCUAAGAGCUAAAUAUAUAUGCCAAGCGCUACUUUUUACUCGCGCCGCCGUCGUAUUCCGUGUUAUUCUUAUGCAUUUUGUUUGGGUUUUUUUGCCUUCUAUAAAAAACACACAGCUGCGGCGGUUUUUGGCAGCUUUCUGGCCGCCGUGGCCGCAGUUUCGUUGCGCCCUGUGGCCAGUGCGCAUCUCGAUCCCUCCGUGUCCGCGACGUUGCCGUACCGUGUCCGCCCAAAGCGAGCACCGGAGAGAGUCCAGCCGCGGAUAAGACGCGUUUUAAUUCGACUUUCGACCAACGACCAGCGAAUCAAGUGAAACGACUCACAUUUCAGUGAUUUUAGCAGCGGAAAGCGCUUUUCCGAAGCACUUUUGAAGUUGCACAGGUUGCAUAAUCGUUGCAAGCCCCCAAGCAGCAGCACCCGCAGUAGCACCGGG